rnacentral:ncRNA from 1 species
UACCUUCGCAACAUCAUUAAUUCAGGCAUACUUUUUAUUGUGUCUGAAUAAUUGGGGAAUCAGGCUAGAAUCCUGCGCAGGCUCGCUGCUGUAAAUCCUACACAACGUUUGGGCAAUAUCCUAUAUGCCACUGCACCUUGCUAUGCUCGGAACGGGAACAAGCCGGAAGACCUGCCAAUGGAUUAUAAAAUUU